rnacentral:rRNA from 1 species
GUGGGGAAUAUUGCACAAUGGGGGAAACCCUGAUGCAGCCAUGCCGCGUGUGUGAAGAAGGCCUUCGGGUUGUAAAGCACUUUCAGCGAGGAGGAAAGGUCAGUAGCUAAUAUCUGCCGGCUGUGACGUUACUCGCAGAAGAAGCACCGGCUAACUCCGUGCCAGCAGCCGCGGUAAUACGGAGGGUGCAAGCGUUAAUCGGAAUUACUGGGCGUAAAGCGCACGCAGGCGGUUGGAUAAGUUAGAUGUGAAAGCCCCGGGCUCAACCUGGGAAUUGCAUUUAAAACUGUCCAGCUAGAGUCUUGUAGAGGGGGGUAGAAUUCCAGGUGUAGCGGUGAAAUGCGUAGAGAUCUGGAGGAAUACCGGUGGCGAAGGCGGCCCCCUGGACAAAGACUGACGCUCAGGUGCGAAAGCGUGGGGAGCAAACAGGAUUAGAUACCCGAGUAGUCC